ACGAUGUCGACUUGGAGGUUGUGCCCUUGAGGCGUGGCUUCCGGAGCUAACGCGUUAAGUCGACCGCCUGGGGAGUACGGCCGCAAGGUUAAAACUCAAAUGAAUUGACGGGGGCCCGCACAAGCGGUGGAGCAUGUGGUUUAAUUCGAUGCAACGCGAAGAACCUUACCUGGCCUUGACAUCCAGAGAACUUAGCAGAGAUGCUUUGGUGCCUUCGGGAACUCUGAGACAGGUGCUGCAUGGCUGUCGUCAGCUCGUGUUGUGAAAUGUUGGGUUAAGUCCCGCAACGAGCGCAACCCUUAUCCUUUGUUGCCAGCGAUUCGGUCGGGAACUCAAAGGAGACUGCCGGUGAUAAACCGGAGGAAGGUGGGGAUGACGUCAAGUCAUCAUGGCCCUUACGGCCAGGGCUACACACGUGCUACAAUGGCGCAUACAAAGAGAAGCGACCUCGCGAGAGCAAGCGGACCUCAUAAAGUGCGUCGUAGUCCGGAUUGGAGUCUGCAACUCGACUCCAUGAAGUCGGAAUCGCUAGUAAUCGUAGAUCAGAAUGCUACGGUGAAUACGUUCCCGGGCCUUGUACACACC
rnacentral:rRNA from 1 species